AGCUUUUUGGAUCUGUGCUGAGAUUUCGUCAGACGUCGACCCAUUAGGGCUGAUCAGACUUCUAAGAUAAAUGAAGUU
rnacentral:pre_miRNA from 1 species